rnacentral:rRNA from 1 species
UGCAAGUCGAACGGCAGCAUGAUCUAGCUUGCUAGAUUGAUGGCGAGUGGCGAACGGGUGAGUAAUACAUCGGAACGUGCCCUGUAGUGGGGGAUAACUAGUCGAAAGAUUAGCUAAUACCGCAUACGACCUGAGGGUGAAAGUGGGGGACCGCAAGGCCUCAUGCUAUAGGAGCGGCCGAUGUCUGAUUAGCUAGUUGGUGGGGUAAAGGCCCACCAAGGCGACGAUCAGUAGCUGGUCUGAGAGGACGAUCAGCCACACUGGGACUGAGACACGGCCCAGACUCCUACGGGAGGCAGCAGUGGGGAAUUUUGGACAAUGGGGCAACCCUGAUCCAGCAAUGCCGCGUGUGUGAAGAAGGCCUUCGGGUUGUAAAGCACUUUUGUCCGGAAAGAAAUCGCACUUACUGAUAUUAGGUGUGGAUGACGGUACCGGAAGAAUAAGGACCGGCUAACUACGUGCCAGCAGCCGCGGUAAUACGUAGGGUCCAAGCGUUAAUCGGAAUUACUGGGCGUAAAGCGUGCGCAGGCGGUUGUGCAAGACCGAUGUGAAAUCCCCGGGCUUAACCUGGGAAUUGCAUUGGUGACUGCACGGCUAGAGUGUGUCAGAGGGGGGUAGAAUUCCACGUGUAGCAGUGAAAUGCGUAGAGAUGUGGAGGAAUACCGAUGGCGAAGGCAGCCCCCUGGGAUAACACUGACGCUCAUGCACGAAAGCGUGGGGAGCAAACAGGAUUAGAUACCCUGGUAGUCCACGCCCUAAACGAUGUCAACUAGUUGUUGGGGAUUCAUUUCCUUAGUAACGUAGCUAACGCGUGAAGUUGACCGCCUGGGGAGUACGGUCGCAAGAUUAAAACUCAAAGGAAUUGACGGGGACCCGCACAAGCGGUGGAUGAUGUGGAUUAAUUCGAUGCAACGCGAAAAACCUUACCUACCCUUG